GCGGCUGUGGCUCAGAGGCAGAGCAGGUUGUUCCUUAAUCGGAAGGUUGCGGGUUCGAUCCCCGGCUCCUGGUGCC
rnacentral:tRNA from 1 species